rnacentral:rRNA from 1 species
GAUGAACGCUGGCGGCGUGCUUAACACAUGCAAGUCGAGCGGAGAUUUUUAGAAAGCUUGCUUUUUAAAAAUCUUAGCGGCGGACGGGUGAGUAACGUGUGGGCAACCUGCCUCAUACAGUGGAAUAAUCACUGGAAACGGUGACUAAUACCGCAUGUCACCACGGGAGGGCGUCCUCCUGUGAGAAAAGGAGCAAUCCGGUAUGAGAUGGGCCCGCAUCUGAUUAGCUAGUUGGUGAGAUAACAGCCCACCAAGGCGACGAUCAGUAGCCGACCUGAGAGGGUGAUCGGCCACAUUGGGACUGAGACACGGCCCAA